rnacentral:rRNA from 1 species
UAGGGAAUCUUCGGCAAUGGGGGGAACCCUGACCGAGCAACGCCGCGUGAGUGAAGAAGGUUUUCGGAUCGUAAAGCUCUGUUGUUAAGGAAGAACGAGUGUGAGAAUGGAAAGUUCAUGCUGUGACGGUACUUAACCAGAAAGGGACGGCUAACUACGUGCCAGCAGCCGCGGUAAUACGUAGGUCCCGAGCGUUAUCCGGAUUUAUUGGGCGUAAAGCGAGCGCAGGCGGUUAGAAAAGUCUGAAGUGAAAGGCAGUGGCUCAACCAUUGUAGGCUUUGGAAACUGUUUAACUUGAGUGCAGAAGGGGGGAGUGGAAUUCCAUGUGUAGCGAUGAAAUGCGUGGAUAUAUGGAGGAACACCGGUGGCGAAAGCGGCUCUCUGGUCUGUAACUGACGCUGAGGCUCGAAAGCGUGGGGAGCGAACAGG